rnacentral:rRNA from 1 species
GAUGAACGCUGGCGGCGUGCCUAAUACAUGCAAGUCGAACGAAACUUCUUUAUCACCGAGUGCUUGCACUCACCGAUAAAGAGUUGAGUGGCGAACGGGUGAGUAACACGUGGGCAACCUGCCCAAAAGAGGGGGAUAACACUUGGAAACAGGUGCUAAUACCGCAUAACCAUAGUUACCGCAUGGUAACUAUGUAAAAGGUGGCUAUGCUACCGCUUUUGGAUGGGCCCGCGGCGCAUUAGCUAGUUGGUAGGGUAAAGGCUUACCAAGGCAAUGAUGCGUAGCCGAACUGAGAGGUUGAUCGGCCACAUUGGGACUGAGACACGGCCCAAACUCCUACGGGAGGCAGCAGUAGGGAAUCUUCCACAAUGGGCGAAAGCCUGAUGGAGCAACGCCGCGUGGGUGAAGAAGGUCUUCGGAUCGUAAAACCCUGUUGUUAGAGAAGAAAGUGCGUGAGAGUAACUGUUCACGUUUCGACGGUAUCUAACCAGAAAGCCACGGCUAACUACGUGCCAGCAGCCGCGGUAAUACGUAGGUGGCAAGCGUUAUCCGGAUUUAUUGGGCGUAAAGGGAAUCGCAGGCGGUCUUUUAAGUCUGAUGUGAAAGCCUUCGGCUUAACCGGAGUAGUGCAUUGGAAACUGGGAGACUUGAGUGCAGAAGAGGAGAGUGGAACUCCAUGUGUAGCGGUGAAAUGCGUAGAUAUAUGGAAGAACACCAGUGGCGAAAGCGGCUCUCUGGUCUGUAACUGACGCUGAGGUUCGAAAGCGUGGGUAGCAAACAGGAUUAGAUACCCUGGUAGUCCACGCCGUAAACGAUGAAUGCUAAGUGUUGGAGGGUUUCCGCCCUUCAGUGCUACAGCUAACGCAAUAAGCAUUCCGCCUGGGGAGUACGACCGCAAGGUUGAAACUCAAAGGAAUUGACGGGGGCCCGCACAAGCGGUGGAGCAUGUGGUUUAAUUCGAAGCAACGCGAAGAACCUUACCAGGUCUUGACAUCUUUUGACAAUCCUAGAGAUAGGACUUUCCCUUCGGGGACAAAAUGACAGGUGGUGCAUGGUUGUCGUCAGCUCGUGUCGUGAGAUGUUGGGUUAAGUCCCGCAACGAGCGCAACCCUUAUUGUUAGUUGCCAGCAUUAAGUUGGGCACUCUAGCAAGACUGCCGGUGACAAACCGGAGGAAGGUGGGGAUGACGUCAAAUCAUCAUGCCCCUUAUGACCUGGGCUACACACGUGCUACAAUGGACGGUACAACGAGUUGCAAGACCGCGAGGUUUAGCAAAUCUCUUAAAGCCGUUCUCAGUUCGGAUUGUAGGCUGCAACUCGCCUACAUGAAGUCGGAAUCGCUAGUAAUCGCGGAUCAGCAUGCCGCGGUGAAUACGUUCCCGGGCCUUGUACACACCGCCCGUCACACCAUGAGAGUUUGUAACACCCAAAGCCGGUGGGGUAACCUUUUGGAGCCAGCCGUCUAAGGUGGGACAGAUGAUUAGGGUGAAGUCGUAACAAGGUAGCCGUAGGAGAACCUGCGGCUGGAUCACCUCCUUUCUAAGGAUAAUUUCGGAAACCUGCACUUUUAUCGUAAGCUUUGUUUAGUUUUGAGAGGUCUACUCUCAAACUUGUUCUUUGAAAACUAGAUAAUAUCUUUUAUUUCUUUGUUAAUUAAAAUAACCGAGAACACCGCGUUUUAAAGAGUUUAAAACAUUUAAUGUUUGAUCGCUAAACUCAUAACCAUUAUCGUAAGAUAAUAUAGGUUAAGUUAUUAAGGGCGCAUGGUGGAUGCCUUGGCACUAGGAGCCGAUGAAGGACGUGACUAACUGCGAUAAGCUUCGGGGAGUUGUAAGUAAACUGUGAUCCGGAGAUUUCCGAAUGGGGAAACCCAGCAGGAGUAAAGACCUGUUAUCACUGAGUGAAUACAUAGCUCAGUUGAAGGUAGACGUGGGGAACUGAAACAUCUAAGUACCCAUAGGAAGAGAAAGAAAAUUCGAUUCCCUGAGUAGCGGCGAGCGAAAAGGGAACAGCCCAAACCAGAGAGCUUGCUCUUUGGGGUUGUAGGACUGGACAUUUGAGUUACCAAGAAACGAAGUAGUUGAAUGAUUUGGGAAGAUCAGCCAGAGAAGGUGAUAGCCCUGUAAGCGAAACUUCGUUUCCUCAGCCCAGUAUCCUGAGUACGGCGGAACACGUGAAACUCCGUCGGAAUCCGGGAGGACCAUCUCCCAAGGCUAAAUACUCCCUAGUGACCGAUAGUGAACC